GAUGAAGAACGUAGGUAAAUGCGAUAAGUAGUGUGAAUUGCAGAAUUCAGUGAAUCAUCGAAUCUUUGAACGCACAUUGCGCCCCUUGGUAUUCCAUGGGGCAUGCCUGUUCGAGCGUCAUUUGUACCUUCAAGCUCUGCUUGGUGUUGGGUGUUUGUCUCGCCUCUGCGUGUAGACUCGCCUCAAAACAAUUGGCAGCCGGCGUAUUGAUUUCGGAGCGCAGUACAUCUCGCGCUUUGCACUCAUAACGACGACGUCCAAAAGUACAUUUUUACACUCUUGACCUCGGAUCAGGUAGGGAUACCCGCUGAACUUAAGCAUAUCAAUAAGCGGAGGA
rnacentral:misc_RNA from 1 species